rnacentral:rRNA from 1 species
CACGUAGGGUGCGAGCGUUGUCCGGAAUUAUUGGGCGUAAGGAGCUCGUAGGCGGUGUGUCGCGUCGGCCGUGAAAACCUGCAGCUUAACUGUGGGCUUGCGGUCGAUACGGGCAUCACUGGAGUUCGGCAGGGGAGACUGGAAUUCCUGGUGUAGCGGUGAAAUGCGCAGAUAUCAGGAGGAACACCGGUGGCGAAGGCGGGUCUCUGGGCCGAUACUGACGCUGAGGAGCGAAAGCGUGGGGAGCGAACAGG